UAAUACGGAGGGUGCAAGCGUUAUCCGGAAUCAUUGGGUUUAAAGGGUCCGCAGGCGGUCAAUUAAGUCAGAGGUGAAAUCCCAUAGCUUAACUAUGGAACUGCCUUUGAUACUGGUUGACUUGAGUUAUACGGAAGUAGAUAGAAUGUGUAGUGUAGCGGUGAAAUGCAUAGAUAUUACACAGAAUACCGAUUGCGAAGGCAGUCAACUACGUAUAUACUGACGCUCAUGGACGAAAGCGUGGGGAGCGAACAGGAUUAGAUACCCUGGUAGUCCACGCCGUAAACGAUGGACACUAGUUGUUGGGAUUUAUCUCAGUGACUAAGCGAAAGUGAUAAGUGUCCCACCUGGGGAGUACGGUCGCAAGAUUG
rnacentral:rRNA from 1 species